AUUUGAACUCCAAUAAGUUCAAGAUAUUUAUUGUGUAAUUCAUUACCAGUUCAGAGCUUUUACUUCUAAUUUUGUUAUGUAAUAUCUAUAUAUUUUUCUUUGCAGAAAGCAUCAUCAGCAAACAUAGUGAAUAGAUCGAAGAAGAAGUACAAUCAUCGUACUGGUUCACGUCCUUUCUCUUACAUAGUGGAAAAGAUGGUCGAGGAUGGUUCGAAGUUUCUCGAAGUCGACACAUUUGAGUUCGCUUAAGUUGUGAAGAACAGGUGUUGGACUUGUAAUGCAGCUAAAACUCAACAUGAUGAGAUGUUUGUCAAAAAGCAUGAAUAUCUUAUAGAGAGGGCAAAGGAACAGUAACUUUCCAAAGAGAUUCCUUUGGAGGAGAUAUCGAUAGAUGACCUUGAUGUCGGAAUUAAUAUCAUGAUGUCCGUUUUAGGUACAAAGCCUGGGCGUCAAAUUAUUGAGUUAGGAGAUGGUCGCAUUCGAGACAUUGGGAUAUCUUCUUCCAAUGUACACAAUUUGGAGAAGGAGUUGGAAGCAGAACGUGUUGCUCGAAAGGUAGCCAAUGCAGCUCGAGUAAACAUGGAGCAAAAUAUGCAAAACAAGCUAAAAGUUGUUGAGCAACAAUUCAAUUCUACAUUACAAUCUUGGCAUUAUUCUAUUAACCAACUAUGUGAUAAAGUUCUUGACUUUAUUGUA